CUGACCUCAGCUGGAUGUCGGGGAGAAAAAGUCAGGCAGAGAGAGUGGGCAGAACUUCCUGGAGUUGAAGAGCACUGGGAGCCUGAGGUCAGGGACCCGAUGGAGGAGUCCUGGAAGCAAGGACGGAGAGCAAGGUACUGAUGGAAAUUAUGAAGUGGAAUAAGAUUGUCUGUUCUCUUAUGGAGCACAGAAAGAACUAUAAUUCAAGACAAAGCAUACCAUAAGAAGGCACAAAGAGAUCAGAGAAGCUAAGGGUGGAACGAGGAAAGCUUCACGAAAGAGGUGGCAUUUGAGGCAGAUGCUGAAAAGGUGCACUCUGCUGAAGAUGUCUACAGGCGAAGUGACAAGGCUUC
rnacentral:lncRNA from 1 species